UACGUAGGGUGCAAGCGUUGUCCGGAAUUAUUGGGCGUAAAGAGCUCGUAGGCGGUCUGUCGCGUCUGCUGUGAAAACUCAGGGCUUAACCCUGAGCUUGCAGUGGGUACGGGCAGACUAGAGUGCGGUAGGGGAGACUGGAAUUCCUGGUGUAGCGGUGAAAUGCGCAGAUAUCAGGAAGAACACCGAUGGCGAAGGCAGCUCUCUGGGACGGUACUGACGCUGAGACGCGAAAGCGUGGGGAGCGAACAGG
rnacentral:rRNA from 1 species